rnacentral:rRNA from 1 species
CAGUCGCCACGGUAAUACGUAGGGUGCGAGCGUUAAUCGGAAUUACUGGGCGUAAAGCGUGCGCAGGCGGUUGUGUAAGACAGGUGUGAAAUCCCCGGGCUCAACCUGGGAACUGCAUUUGUGACUGCAUGGCUAGAGUACGGUAGAGGGGGAUGGAAUUCCGCGUGUAGCAGUGAAAUGCGUAGAUAUGCGGAGGAACACCGAUGGCGAAGGCAAUCCCCUGGACCUGUACUGACGCUCAUGCACGAAAGCGUGGGGAGCAAACAGGAUUAGAUACCCGCGUAGUCCCUGUCUCUUAUAA